CCAAAGGCUCUUUUCAGAGCCACUACUCAUGUCUUUUAAAGAACUG
rfam:Mesocricetus auratus contig191433, whole genome shotgun sequence.